rnacentral:misc_RNA from 1 species
CACCACGUGCGUGCCCACAUACGCACACUCCAUCAUUCAUAACCGGCUCUUCGAAGCGCAGCUGCCCCACCUAUCCCUCCUCCCUCGCUGCAACCCACCGCCUAUCUCCACUGGCAGCUGGGGAAUCCUGUCGCUUCCGCGGUUCUCAGCCAUGCGCUCGUUGAGUCGAGGGCUUUCCCUCGCUGCGAGUGGUCGCCUCGUCUGCGUGUCGCGAAGGUCUUCGGUGACGGCAAGCACCGCCCUUGCCGCGACGUACGCGUCGGCUAACGCGGUGCCCUGCUCAUCGCUGUCGUCGUCCAUGGCUGCGUCAGCGCACCGCGCAUCCGCGGCGUUUUUCCACACCUCCCGCGUGCACCGCGCCCCGUCGGACGUGUCGGACGACCUCGCGAAGGAUCUGCACGACAUCAUCUGUCACGACCGCCUCGUCGUCUUUCUCACUGGCACCCCGUCGCAACCGCGGUGUCGCUUUACAGCGCAGCUGGUGGACCUGCUCGACCAGCUCGGCGUCAAGUAUAGCUUUUUCAACAUCAUGGAUGACGAGGAGGUUUGCGAGGGGCUCAAGGCGUACAGCGACUGGCCGACGUACCCGCAGGUGUACGUGGACGGCGAGCUGCUCGGCGGCUUCGAUAUUUGCAAGACAAUGAUGCUGGAUGGCACGCUGACGACGAUGCUGAAGGAUAAGCAACUCAUCUGACAAGACCGGAAGGGCGGAGGAGGGGAGGACGUUGUGCGCGGCUGUAGGGUGGUAACGAAGCUGGAGCGGCCGAAGAGAGAGAGGCGACACCCUGCGGCUCCGCUGCCUCCCUCGGUAUACGACCACCUCCUACACGCACGCACGCAUACGCUCAAGCGCGUAUUCGUCUGUCGGUGUUGUUUGCAGCACCGUCUCUUUUUCCGCAGCCGCUACUCCGGCGCAGGUGUGGCACCCGCUCCACUCCUCAUGUGAGCGCUCCACGUAAGAACGGACGUGCAGCACAAAUAGGAACGCGAACAGGUAACGGUAAGUGGCAGGAGAUGGAAGUAUGUAGCGACGCAGUGUGCGGCAGCGGCGGCGGCGGCGGCUGCUGUCAACAUCACCACCCUGGUGCAGCCACUCAUCACCUUUUUUGUGCGUGUAUGUCUAUCUUGGCUGCAGCCGUUUUGCGCGCCAUGCCUAACAUCGACAUCGAUGGACACUCACCUGCAGAGGGAAAAAGAAGUGCGGCCGCAUCCGUAUAACCUACUGGAGCGGGAGCGGGAGCGGGGGAGAGACAGGUACGAUGCUGAUGAGCACGGUGCUAACUGCAAGACGUGUCCCUCCCCCGCCCACCCACCCCGCUAUCCCUACGUGUGCGCAAGCAUGUGCAUGUGCACGUGAGCCACUCCCCGCAGUGCUUUCAUCGGCACACUCUUUCUUGUAUCUUGUCGCUAUCACUUCCUCCUCUUCGCUCGACGCCGAUCAUCGCCGGACACGCAC